ensembl:lncRNA
CCGGCAAGUCCGCUAUUCACUCUUUCAUGGAAACUGGCAUUUCUUUUAUGUUUACGUCUUGGUAUGGCGACACCAACAAUUCGGGUAGUUAAUCCAGAUGCCCCUGCACAUCGUCAGCAGGCUCUACUUAUGGCAACCAAAGAGGCACGUUACUACCGGGUGAGAAGUAUGGUCUUCCCCAAACCUCCACAGGAGCUGCUCAGCCAAGUCACUGCCUUGACUCAUGCAGAGAAGCUUCUUCAAGCCGAGGGUAUCCACGUGCCUUCACGUCAGCAGUGCCUGGGAAAGCUGGUGGUGCCAUUUGGACAAUAUGAACAUGCACCGUUUCGGUGGCUCGUUGCAAACGACGUGGGAUAUAUGAAGUAGUGAGUGUACCAUAUAUUUAAUACCAUACUAUAGGCAGGUUUACUGAACUUCCAUUUACUGCACAUUUCCCCGUGUAAGGCUAUUAUCAGUAUAUCUUGUUCGUUGUAAACUUUCUUUAAGUGUGUAAUAUUCACGGAGAUAUUGCUGACAGUAUGUAUGAUUCCAGCAUACUUGACAGGCACAGAACAGAGGUGACAAAUCCACAAAGAAAGGGAGAGAUAGGGAACCAGUGGGUGAAGGAUUACCUCACAGAAUAUGCAGAAAGCUUCCCUCAAGUCUCCGUAGUCCUCGAGGCCAACAUUGACAGGUGCAUCUAUGGUCAGAAAGGGUUUGAAGAUCACACCUUUCAAGAGAUGUGGGAAUUAUAUUGUCAGUACAGCAGCCAAAAGGACAGACCUGAGAAGUUCAGUGAUGAGCAGAGGGAGGUCAUUCAGAAGGCACACAGUUCUGUGAAGAGGUGGUUGAACACACCAGUGACGCACAUCACAAGCACCCAAAUGAAGAGGUUCAGAAAAUAUAUAUAUGACAAGGAACAACAACGGCUGACAAGUACCCCCAGGUGUGAUCCUUCGUUGUGGCCAGGUGAUGAUGCUGAACUGAUAGCUGCAUCCCAGUCUGUGGAAGAUUCACUGAAGUCCCAACACUCCUUGUCUGCAAGUCAACCUUUAAAGCAACGGCUGACAAGCAGAGGUGUUUCCUCCUCCCAGACGUCUGGAACACAGGAGAACUCAGCUCCCCUGUCCAAGGAGUUUGCGAACACUGUGGUGAAAACGCUGUCUGGGGAAGGUCAAGGCUCAGCAGAAUGGUUCACCAGUAUCGGAAAUGAGCACUCACAAAUAGUUACAUUUGUGCUGACCUGCGAGGAGUCCUUUGACAAGCUGCAGCCAAUGUGCCGUGGAGUCAUGGAGAGGUUUCACUUGGCCAAUCAGCCUGUUCCCAAAAUUUUGUAUGUGGACCGUGGGUGUUGCCGUGCACAGGGACCAUCAGUAGUAGAGGCCUUGUUUCAGCCUUGGGUGGACAGUGGGAUGCUUGUGCAUCUGGACAUCUUUCACUGGAUCCACCGGUUUGAUGCAGCCAUCUAUACAGAGUCUCAUGCAAAGUACUCUGCAUUUAAGUCUGCAGUAGCUGGGGCGGUGCUGGCUUACAACCGCACAGACCUUGAGCUGCUUAUAAGGGCCGUCAGAGCAAAGAACCCAGUAAAAAUGCAGUCUGUGUCCGAUGAGGACGUUGUCUGCCUUUACAUUUCCAGGGAGCAGUUAAAACACCAUCUGCGCAGGGUCACACUUGGGGCUCAGGAAACGUUUUGGCUCAUCCAAUUGGUUAUCGAGGAGCUGAAAGGUCCAGCUGGGCUGGAUGAGAGGGGAGCGACUCUCUUCAAAACACCUGGGGCCAUUGAUGAGAUGUGGGCAGCACAGCAGCGACACCUGGAAUGCAUUCAGGACCCACCAGACAUGAGCAUGUAUAGGGUGGCUCAUACCACAACAAUAAACAACGUGGAUGUCCCCUAUUACAAGUGUCUGUGUGGAAGCAAUAGCCUGGAAGGGUUCCACAAAUUACUUCCUAACAUGAUUCCAGGUCCCCACUGCGCAGCACGUCCCUAUCAGCUUUACCUGAUAAGUGGUAUUGCAAGGUGGAACUCUGACAGGAGCUCAGAUGCUGUAUUUGUUGGCAAAGGAUGGCAUCACAGGAUUUACUCUGCACCGUUGAUCGAUCGCCUCAACACUCGCUGUCAGCAGCUGUUUGGAGAACCUGUAGAAGUAAACUUCCGUGGCCCAGCUGAUCUCACAUCAAAUGAAUUGCUCGGGCUGGAGUACUUGUUCAGCCAAAGCACUGGAGAGUCUGGAACUUUCUCUCUGGAGGGCAUCGUCAGUGAUGGACCUGGUCCUGAGGAGGAGGUGGUUCAGCCUGGGCAACCCAAACCAGAUGAUCGCGAUGAAGCAUACCAGAGUGACGAAGAGGCACGCGACACUGUAUUGGAUACUGUCCUUCCCCACAUUACACUCACCAAUGAUGAGACCUCCACAGUUCACCCUCCAGCCUUU